rnacentral:rRNA from 1 species
UGGGGAAUAUUGGACAAUGGGCGAAAGCCUGAUCCAGCAAUGCCGCGUGGGUGAAGAAGGUCUUCGGAUUGUAAAGCCCUUUCGGCGGGGACGAUGAUGACGGUACCCGCAGAAGAAGCCCCGGCUAACUUCGUGCCAGCAGCCGCGGUAAUACGAAGGGGGCUAGCGUUGCUCGGAAUGACUGGGCGUAAAGGGCGCGUAGGCGGCGCACUUAGUCGGGCGUGAAAGUCCUGGGCUCAACCUGGGGACGGCGCUCGAUACGGGUGUGCUUGAGUGUGGAAGAGGGUUGUGGAAUUCCCAGUGUAGAGGUGAAAUUCGUAGAUAUUGGGAAGAACACCGGUGGCGAAGGCGGCAACCUGGUCCAUUACUGACGCUGAGGCGCGAAAGCGUGGGGAGCAAACA